rnacentral:rRNA from 1 species
AUUGAACGCUGGCGGUAUGCUUAAGACAUGCAAGUCGAACGGUAACAGGUUAAGCUGACGAGUGGCGGACGAGUGAGUAACGCGUGGGAAUCUACCUUGUAGUGGGGGAUAAGCCAGGGAAACUUGGACUAAUACCGCAUACGCCCUAAGGGGGAAAGGCGCAAGUCGCUAUAAGAUGAGCCCGCGUCUGAUUAGGUAGUUGGUGGGGUAAAGGCCUACCAAGCCGACGAUCAGUAGCUGGUCUGAGAGGAUGAUCAGCCACGUCGGGACUGAGACACGGCCCGGACUCCUACGGGAGGCAGCAGUCGGGAAUAUUGGACAAUGGGGGAAACCCUGAUCCAGCAAUACCGCGUGUGUGAAGAAGGCCUGCGGGUUGUAAAGCACUUUCGCCAGGGACGAUAAUGACGGUACCUGGAGAAGAAGCCCCGGCUAACUUCGUGCCAGCAGCCGCGGUAAGGUGACGCUCU